rnacentral:rRNA from 1 species
GUACGGGAGGCAGCAGGUAGGAAUAGUUGGACAAUAGGACGAAAGUCUGACCCAGCCACGCCGCGUGAAGGAUGACUGCCCUAUGGGUUGUAAACUUCUUUUGUAUGGGAAGAAACUCUCGUUCGUGAACGAGACUGACGGUACCAUAAGAAUAAGCAUCGGCUAACUCCGUGCCAGCAGCCGCGGUAAUACGGAGGAUGCAAGCGUUGUCCGGAUUCAUUGGGUUUAAAGGGUGCGUAGGCGGAGAAUUAAGUCAGUGGUGAAAGCUUACAGCUUAACUGUAAAAAUGCCAUUGAAACUGAUUUUCUUGAGUUCGAUUGAGGUAGAUGGAAUGUAUCAUGUAGCGGUGAAAUGCUUAGAUAUGAUACAGAACACCAAUUGCGAAGGCAGUCUACUAAGUCGAUACUGACGCUGAGGCACGAAAGCAUGGG